AUUUUGCAGGACUGUUUAGGUGUCCAUAAUGUCACUAAACCAGUGUCUUCCCUUUGUAAUGGAAUUCAUUUUCUACUUCACCCAAAAGUCCUGUAUGAAAUCUGUGCAUUUGGCAUUCAAGAUCCCAAAAAUGAGGUGAAUGCUGCCGCCAGGGCCAUUCUGACGCACCUGCUGCAGGGACGAUUGGUGAUGACAGCGGUGACCUGGAACAAGUUUAUUGAGGCUCUCUGUCCUGUCAUUCCAGUCCUACAGGGCUAUGCUGACCCAGAAGACCCCCUGGGUAACUGCAUUCUCCACCUAAGCACAGUGGGUCCUGAGGCAGGUGAAGGGGUUCUCCCCAGCACCGCCCGGUUAAAGUCCGUGCUGCGGCUCCUGCUCGUGAAAAAGCUG